GGAGGCUGGCAAACAGGAGGGUCAGAGCCUAGGGAAGAAUGUGUAAUGGCUAAAAUUACAUUUCCUUGUUUCGUGAUUUUUUUUUUUUUGCAUGAAAGACUGGAUAUGUUAUGGCUCCUUUAACAUAAUAUAUGGACAGCACACAAAUCUUCUACUUUGCAGGUCAGAUGAGGCUGAAAAUUUGUGGGCAGGCAGACCCCGAGGUCCCCUGCUCAUUUUUAACUCUGCUGUCUUUAAUACUGAUUGCAGGGUGGAAAUUGAUCUCCCCAGUUGUAACGCAAGCCAAAGUGAUGGAUCAAGAAGAGAAAAGUCAUUAUACAACAUCACCUUGAUCAUGAAUACAGUUCCAAGGUCUUUUGAGUCCUAGGCUGCCACUAAAAUUCACACCAGAUGGAGCUUGGAGUUGAUACUGUUCCAGUCCUCAUUGGCCCUGUUUCCUACUUGCUGCAAUCAAAACCAGCCAAGGGUGGGGAGAGAACUCUCUCUUCUUUCCCUGCUGGACAAGAUUAUUCCAGUAUACAAGGAGGUUGUGACAGAAUUGAAGGCAGCUGGUGCUUCCUGGAUUUAGUUUGAUGAGCCCACCCUUGUGUUGGAUCUUGAUUCUCACAAAUUGGAAGCUAACUCCUCUUGUUUCCUCCAAGGAAUGAUGCCAUUUGAGACAACCAAGCCGUAUAAUAGCAAGACCGGGGGUGAUCAUCGACAAUGAGCACAAUCCCAUCUCACAUUGUUGGAUAUCCACACAUGGGCCCCAGGAGAGAGAUCAAAUUUUUUUUGGAAUCUUUCUGGGAUGGGAAGAGCAGUGCCGAGGAUUUGUAGAAAGUGGCUACUGAUCUCAGGUCAUUCAUCUGGAAACAGAUGGCUGAUUCUGGGACCAAAUACAUUCCAAGCAACAGGUUCUCGUACUACGACCAGAUGCUUGAUAGUACCAUAAUGCUUGGGGCUGUUCCCUCUAGAUAUGGUUGGAAUGUUGGUGAGAUUGGUUUUGACACCCACUUCUCCAUGGCCUGAGGGAAUGCCUCUGUUGCUGCUAUGGAAAUGACCAAGUGGUUUGACACCAACUAGUCGGGCAGCCAUUUCAUUGCUCCUGAAUUGGGACUAGACAAUUUUUUUAUGCUUCUCACAAAGCUGUUAGUGAAUAUAAAGAGGCCAAAGCUGUACGUCUGCAAGAUAUUUUCUGUAUUGGUCUACUAUUUAUUACUUGUAGGUCAUCAGCUUGGAGUAGACACUGUUCCAGACCUAAUUGGUCCUGUUUCCUAGCAAUCAAAAUCAGCCAAGGAUGUGGGGAAAACUCUCUCUUCUUCCCCUCCUGGAAUGGAUUAUUCCAGUCUACAAAUAGGUUGUGACAGAAUUUAAGGCGGCUGGUGCUUCCUGGAUUCAGUUUGAUGAGCACACCCGUGUGUUGGUUAUUGAUUCUCACAAAUUGGAAGCAUUCACUAAGUGUUCUCUUUUCCUCCGAGGAAUGAUGCAUUUGAGAUGACCAAGCCAUAUAGUAUCAAGACGGGGGUGAUCAUCAACAAUGAAAUGAGGGAAUGGGUUGCGAAGGCCUAUGAAUGCACUGUGCAGCUGAUCGAGGAGCACAAAGAUGUUCACGAGGAUCUGGACAAGUACUUGCUUGGAUAAAGACUAAGAAGACUUAAUGAUCAUGACGAGGGUUUUUGUUCAUGAUGAUCCUAUUAUCCUGUAGGCAAAGAUUGCAGAACUUCACGAGGAUCUGGACAAGUACUCAUGUCAUAAUUAGGACUUUUAUCGCCAAGAGUAGGCUUUAGAUUUAUUGCUGAGAUUGUCACUGAAUUUUGACUUAAGUAUUGCUUGAUAUUUUUUAAUGGGAUCAGGUCGAAUUGAUUUUAUCAA